GGCGCUAUAGCCAAGUGGUUACGGCGACAGAUUAGAAUCUCGAGAAACUAUCUGUUCCUCUUUGAGGGCGCAGGUUCAAAUCCUGCUGGCGUCG